UUUUCAUUCCCGUUGUUAUGGAGGUAGGCUCUCUAGGAAUCUGGGAGUAGUAGCUGGGGGGCAAGAGCAAAUAAAGAGCUCGAGCUUCUGUGGUCUCUGGGGAGAUGUUCCCGGGAAGCCUGUCUAGAGGGCGGAGGGCAGCUGUUGAGAUGGCGUGGCUCCCCGGCUCCUGCGCCCGCGUGGCUUUCGCGGCGGGCGCUGCGGCCCGGUAUUGGACAGCCUGGCAGGGCAGCGCGGGGCCGAAUCCGGCUGCCGUGGCUGAGGCUCAUGGAUCACUCUUUUGUGGUAGGGCCACAUCUGCCAGAGCCUGGAGUCUGCGAAGGCCGGGACCCGGUUCCCCGGCCCACAGUGGGGGUGUGCAAACCCGAGAGAACUGGGUAAGUUGGGGUCGGCUUGCAGUUUGGGGUACCCCGAGGGCGGUGUACGUCGGUAAGAUUGUAACAGUAUUACUGGAAGACUUAUUCGACUGUCCUGAUGAUACUUGUAAUAGGAAGUGCCGUCAGAAGCGAUAACUGACGACGUCUAAUGUCUAUCUGACCGCAGUCGCUGAAACCUCUACAACUUAGUUGACCGUAACUGCCAGAGCCCUGCCCUGAAUUCCUGUCCUUACUCCCUCUUUAAGAUUGCGUACCCACUGCAGAGUGCUGAAGACGGGGUAGCCACGAGGUGAGAGGCUCUCUGGUGUAGGGUUUAACAUGGAACGUAGUUUUGUCACUUGAAUGCACGGAAAUUGGCGUUUUGACAGUUUUCUACGUUUAGGUGUUUUAUACACUUUAGGGUAACGUUAUCAUGUCAUUGCAUAGGGUGGAACUUAAAUAGAAACUGGAGAUGGCUGCUUCAGCCACAGUCCUAACCUAGAACUGCAUUUAAAGCAAACUGAUAAUGCAGAAACAAACUCCUUCGUUAAGAAAUGUCUCCAGUAGCAGGGUUAGCUUAAGUUUCAGGUAGGGUCUAGAUCUGCGGUUGGAACAGUACUGGAGGGUUGUGAGGUGCUUGACUGCUCUGAUGAAAUCACUAAUAGGAAGUGCCGUCAGAAGCGAUAACUGACGAAGACUACUCCUGUCUGAUUGCAGUCAAGUCUUCACCACUUGCUGGUUCCCAGGAGUAAACUUGUUUGAACGGUGACCUAAUUGCUAUAUUCACCUAGGUUGCAAAUUCGUGAAGAAUCAGCAUCAUGUUUGGCAGCUGAGUAUUGGAGCCAGGAGCCUGCCAUGAGGUUUUGAGAACAGAGUGCUGUUUUAGAGCUGGCAGCAGCAUCUCAGCCCAAGAGAAGGUAAGCCUUGAGCUGGCCAAUGAUCCCUUCAACCCCAUAGUGGAAUGAAUAAACAGCUGAUCUUGUUAAAACUCGCUUCAAAAAAAAAAGAUAUCAAA
rnacentral:lncRNA from 1 species